UACGAAGGGUGCAAACGUUGCUCGGAAUUAUUGGGCGUAAAGCGCACGUAGGCGGAUAUUUAAGUCAGGGGUGAAAUCCCAGAGCUCAACUCUGGAACUGCCUUUGAUACUGGGUAUCUUGAGUAUGGAAGAGGUAAGUGGAAUUGCGAGUGUAGAGGUGAAAUUCGUAGAUAUUCGCAGGAACACCAGUGGCGAAGGCGGCUUACUGGUCCAUAACUGACGCUGAGGUGCGAAAGCGUGGGGAGCAAACAGG
rnacentral:rRNA from 1 species